GCACUGCUGAGGAGACCCAAAAUAGGACGAAACGACCGUCCAGUGC
rnacentral:hammerhead_ribozyme from 1 species